rnacentral:rRNA from 1 species
GAUGAACGCUGGCGGCGUGCCUAAUACAUGCAAGUCGAGCGAACAGACGAGGAGCUUGCUCCUCUGACGUUAGCGGCGGACGGGUGAGUAACACGUGGAUAACCUACCUAUAAGACUGGGAUAACUUCGGGAAACCGGAGCUAAUACCGGAUAAUAUAUUGAACCGCAUGGUUCAAUAGUGAAAGACGGCUUUGCUGUCACUUAUAGAUGGAUCCGCGCCGCAUUAGCUAGUUGGUAAGGUAACGGCUUACCAAGGCAACGAUGCGUAGCCGACCUGAGAGGGUGAUCAGCCACACUGGAACUGAGACACGGUCCAGACUCCUACGGGAGGCAGCAGUAGGGAAUCUUCCGCAAUGGGCGAAAGCCUGACGGAGCAACGCCGCGUGAGUGAUGAAGGUCUUCGGAUCGUAAAACUCUGUUAUUAGGGAAGAACAAAUGUGUAAGUAACUAUGCCCGUCUUGACGGUACCUAAUCAGAAAGCCACGGCUAACUACGUG